AUGUACAUUCCUACAACAUAAAAUUAAUUCACAUGAUCCCAUUAGAACUCCACAGGUAAGGACACUCAGGCAAGUGUAUUACUAGAAUGGGUGACUUCCCGGGAAGUCUAGUGUUUUACAUG
rnacentral:rRNA from 1 species